rnacentral:rRNA from 1 species
CCUACGGGCGGCAGCAGUGGGGAAUAUUGGACAAUGGGCGAAAGCCUGAUCCAGCCAUGCCGCGUGUGUGAAGAAGGCCUUCGGGUUGUAAAGCACUUUCAGUGGGGAAGAAAGCCUUGGGGCUAAUACCCUCGAGGAAGGACAUCACCCACAGAAGAAGCACCGGCUAACUCCGUGCCAGCAGCCGCGGUAAUACGGAGGGUGCGAGCGUUAAUCGGAAUUACUGGGCGUAAAGCGCGCGUAGGCGGUCUGAUAAGCCGGUUGUGAAAGCCCCGGGCUCAACCUGGGAACGGCAUCCGGAACUGUCAGGCUAGAGUGCAGGAGAGGAAGGUAGAAUUCCCGGUGUAGCAGUGAAAUGCGUAGAGAUCGGGAGGAAUACCAGUGGCGAAGGCGGCCUUCUGGACUGACACUGACGCUGAGGUGCGAAAGCGUGGGUAGCAAACAGGAUUAGAUACCCCUGUAGUC